GGGGGCUGUCGCUGACCCUUGUAAAGGGGGUCGUGCACGCCCCUUUACCCAUCUUAACACAUCCCUUGUGCAUCACCGCGUGGGCAUUUUAAUCGAUGCCUGCGUUUUUCAUACAAACUCGAUUCAAAAGUAUUAGAAUGGUUCAUUAUAAUGAUAAUAAUAUAACUUUCAACAACGGAUCUCUUGGCUCUCGCAUCGAUGAAGAACGCAGCGAAAUGCGAUACGUAAUGUGAAUUGCAGAAUUCAGUGAAUCAUCGAAUCUUUGAACGCACCUUGCACCCUUCGGUAUUCCGAAGGGUACGCCUGUUUGAGUGUCAUGAAACAUUCAACCUUUAUCUCUUGAAUUUAUUUGGGAGUAAAGGCUUGGACUUUGGAGGUUACUGCUGGCCAUAUAUAGAUGGUCAGCUCCUCUUAAACGAAUUAGUAGGGUCCCUUUUAACCGAUCCUUUGAUGUGAUAAGGAUUCUCCUACAUCUUGAUGGGUUUCGGUUUUGUAAAGGCCUGCUUAUAAUCUCUUAAUAAAGAACCCUUUGACCUCAAAUCAGGCGAGACUACCCGCUGAACUUAAGCAUAUAG
rnacentral:rRNA from 1 species